GACGAACGCUGGCGGCGUGCUUAGCACAUGCAAGUCGAACGGAGCGAAUGAAAGCUUGCUUUUAUGAGCUUAGUGGCAAACGGGUGAGUAACACGUAGACAACCUGCCGACAGGAUGGGGACAACAUUCCGAAAGGAAUGCUAAUACCGAAUGAAGCGGAGGAGAGGCAUCUCUCCUCCGUGAAAGAUGGCCUCUAUUUAUAAGCUAUCACCUGUCGAUGGGUCUGCGUCUGAUUAGCUAGUUGGUGAGGUAACGGCUCACCAAGGCGACGAUCAGUAGCCGGUCUGAGAGGAUGAACGGCCACAUUGGGACUGAGACACGGCCCAGACUCCUACGGGAGGCAGCAGUGGGGAAUCUUCCGCAAUGGGCGCAAGCCUGACGGAGCAACGCCGCGUGAGUGAAGAAGGUCUUCGGAUCGUAAAGCUCUGUUGACGGGGACGAACGUGCGAAGGGUGAAUAAUCCUUUGUAAUGACGGUACCUGUCGAGG
rnacentral:rRNA from 1 species